CAGGUGCUUCAAAAACUUCAUGAGAAAAUGGCCUUUUAUUACACUAAACCAGACAUAAAAAGAAUCCUGCUACUCUUUGGGAUAAUUUAUAUCACAAUGGACAUCACAUCCUGUAAACUUUCAAAGAAAAAAGAAAAUAAUGUCCAAAGUUUCUUGGAAGAUGAAUUGAAGGAAGCAGAAACUAAAGGUAGUAAAUGUACUCUGAAGAAGAUAAAUGUGAAAAGUGUUAACCAAAUUCGAUGGACCAAAACUGCUAAGGAGGUGAUUCCUUGCGCUAUCAAGCUUCUAACAGACAACAAGAAUGAUGGAUUUCUAUGGUCAGUACUUGGUACUUUGUAUGAUAACGCAGAUCAGUUAACUGAUGCAAACUUUUGUUUCAAACAAGCAGCCAGAAUAACAGGAAAGAUAACUCCAUUUAUCAAACAAUGGAACUAUCUAGGUCCUUUUGUCAUUGGAAAAACAGAGUUCGAUGGUGACCCUCUAGAGGUAUUUGGUGGAAUCUACAAUGUAUCAAAGUAUAGGGAACACAAAAAUCAAAAGUUUUAUUCAGAAUUUUCUCCGGGAGGGGAAAUUACAUGGCAGGUAUAUAACCAGAGACAGCCAAAAGAUGUGAUGAAAAUUGCACCAACUGUGAACUGGAAUGAGUUAAUCAAUACAUUAAGCUCAAUGGGAAUCACUGAAUGGCAGGGAUGGGUUGUAGGGGAAUUUUCUCUGAAUGAGGACAGACAAAACGUUGCUUUACAAUGUCUUGGGCACCAUACCAUAUAUGUUGAUGGGAUACCAGUCACAGGAGACGUUUACCAUAGAAACCAGUUUUUCUUUGGCCUUCAACUCGAUAGAGGUUUACAUACUAUUUAUGUCAGACUAAGAGGAAAAGUUGGCGCUAAUUUGAUGUGCAGUCUACAGAUCAAACAAGUCCCUUUUGAAAUUUUGAAUCCUCAUUAUCUACCAGAUUUUGUUGAUGGGCAUGUAUUUGGUAAAUAUAUAGCAAUACCAGUUGCCAACUACCAUUUUUCAAAAUGGUUAAAAAUAUCAAAGAUAAAACUAGUCGACCAAUCACAUGGAACUGAUAUGAACUUUAAACUCUUGAACCAAGUUCAUAUUGCACCAGGUCAGAUUUUACCCGUAAACGUUGUUUUCGAAUCGUCAGAAAUAUUGCCAUGUCAAACUAUAGAAUUAAAGCUAAAAUUAACAACUUCAGAAGGAAGUAAAGAUUUUCUAGUGAAUUUAAGACGUAGAAAAAUAAAGGAAUCCUUUCUGUUUACGUUUCUGGAUCAUGAUGGUUCAGUACAACAUGCUGCGGCUACAUAUCCACUGAGUGACUGUAUCGGAGAAUCUUGUCCUGUUGUGUUGACUCUUCAUGGAACAACUGUACCACCACAGAACCAGGCAGAUAGCUAUAAAUACAUGGUCAAUAAAGAGUUUGUGUAUGGGGUUAAUGGUGCAUGGUUGUUAGCACCUACAAGACAUGGAGCUCAUAACUGGGAAGGUCCAGGAGUACUGACCGCUAUGACAGCUUUAGACACGCUCUCUAAACUCACGGAGGAGUAUUCUUGGUUGACUAUGAAAGCUGACCAAGAAAGAGUUAUUUUUGCAGGUCAUUCCAUGGGAGGCCAUGGUGCAUUAAACUUAGCUACACAUUACCCUGACAGAGCAUUGGCCCUCAUCUCUCUCGCUGGUUGGAUAAAAAAAGAAGAAUAUGGUGAUAGUAACCUGUUCUUUAGACAUGACAUAGCUGCAAGCCAUGUAGACCCUGGAGUCAAGUUUAUCAUGGAAUCUUCUAUCACGGAAAAUGAUGUUGAUAGACAUGUUUCUAACUUGAAGCAUGUUCCUGUGUUGAUCAGAACUGGUGCUGCUGACAAGACUGUACCUCCAUUCUACCUUAGAAGGAUGUAUCGACUAUUGAGGGAGAUAGGAGCCAUGGUUAAUUAUACAGAACCUGAGGGAAAGGAACAUUGGUGGUGGGAUACAAAAGAGACGAAUGAUGGAGGAGUAGUGAAUGACAAGUACAUUAGAGAUUUCACAGCUAAAGCUCUGGAACAGAAGUCAGGGUACUGUCGUGAUGAUAAUUGUAAACCAGUCAGUGAAAAUAAAUACAGUAAACAGGAUUAUAGUUUUACUUACACGUGUGUAAAUCCAGCAUUUGGAGAAGGUCUGCAGGGAUUUCAAGUUAUUCAGCAAAUUACACCUUUCAGACUCAGUCAGAUGAAGGGUUCCUUGAAGGAUGAUGCAAUGAUUGUUGAUACAACCAAUAUACUGAGAUUUUCAUAUAAAAAGAAUAACUUGAAGUUGUCCCAGUUUAAAUCAUUACAGGUAGAUGGAACUUCAGUGAAGAAUUUAGAAGACAAACUGAAAAUUUUUUCUACAGUUUAUUUUUGUAGAAAUACAGAUGCCUGGGAAGACUGCACAGAAGAUUUUGGAGAUUCGAGAGGACCUUCAUCUUAUGGUCCUGCUCGGAGAGUAGCUGAAAAUGAAUUCUAUAUUGUUGUUGGUACACAAGAUCAAGAGGCAGCCAUACACAUUCAGAAGUUUGCUGUUUACAUAGCCAACCUGUUCUUUCUGACAUCUGAUACACCAGCUGUAGUUGUAAAGGAUGAGGAGCUUGAGAAUGGUCAGAUAGAAAAUUCUAAUUUGAUAAUUAUUGGAUCACCACAGCAGAAUUCAAAGACAGAGAUGUACCUUAAGAAAAUACCUGUAGAGGUCAAAGAUUCGUCAUUUUCAGUAUCAAAAUGUAAAUUCAGUGAUCCUCGAUCAGGUCUUCUUACAUUAGCACCAAAUGGUAAAGACAAUCUUGCAUUGAUAUUGAUGUCUAACUCUUAUGAAGGACUAUAUGAUGUCAUAUCACUGGCCACUCCCACUAUACCACCAAUGACAAGGUCACCUUUUUCUAACCUACUGCCAGAUUAUGUUGUAACUGGUCCAGAGUAUGGUCUGAAAGGUCCUGGUGGGUUUUUGUGUACUGGAUUCUGGGGAAACAGUUGGGAAUACAGAACUGACAUAUCAUCUUGUGUUUGCUGAAACUUGCUCUUAUUAUUACUAUAUUAUGGUGAUGGUCAUUUGUUGUUCCAUUAUUGGAUAAUUAAAUGUGAUUAUUUUGAUCUGGGACUUUGUAUACAUGCACAUUACAGUACAUAUUUGUAUCCACUUCUCCCGUGAAAUCCCUGAUCAGAACCUUCACAAUAUAAUGCCAAUGUUCAAAUCUUUUUUUGUCUUUAUUUUAUUAGUUUUUAUAUGACCGCGCAAAAAAUUUUGCGGUCUUAUAUUGGUAUGACGUUUGCAUCGUCAUCGUCGUCGUCCGAAGACACAUUGGUUUUCGCACUCUAACUUUAGUUUAAGUAAAUGGAUCUCUAUGAAAUUUUACCAUAAGGUUCAAUACCACAAAAGGAAGGUUGGGAUUGAUUUUGGGGGUUAUGGUACCAACAGUAAAGGAAUUAGGGGCCAAAAAGGGGCCAAAAAUAAGCAUUUUUAGCUCACCUGGCCCAAAGGGCCAAGUGAGCUUUUCUCAUCACUUGGCGUCCGUCGUCCGUCGUCCUGCGUCCGUCGUCCGUAAACUUUUACAAAAAUCUUCUCCUCUGAAACUACUGGGCCAAAUUUGACCAAACUUGUCCACAAUCAUCAAUAGGGUAUCUAGUUUAAAAAAUGUGUCCGGUGACCCGGCCAACUAACCAAGAUGGCCGCCAUGGCUAAAAAUAGAACAUAGGGGUAAAAUGUAGAUUUUGGCUUAUAUCUCUGAAACCAAAGCAUUUAGAGCAAAUCUGACAUGGGGUAAAAUUGUUUAUCAGGUCAAGAUCUAUCUGCCCUGAAAUUUUCAGAUGAAUAUGAAAACCCGUUGUUGGGUUGCUGCCCCUGAAUUGGUAAUUUUAAGGAAAUUUUGCCGUUUUUGGUUAUUGUCUUGAAUAUUAUUAUAGAAAGAGAUAAACUGUAAACAGCAAUAAUGUUCAGCAAAGUAAGAUCUACAAAUAAGUCAACAUGACCAAAAUGGUCAGUUGACCCCUUAAGGAGUUAUUGCCCUUUAUAGUCAAUUUUUAACCAUUUUUCGUAAAUUUUUGUAAUCUUUUACAAAAAUCUUCUCCUCUGAAACUACUAAGACAAAUUUAACCAAACUUGUCCCCAAUCAUCAUUAGGGUAUCUAGUUUAAAAAAUGUGUCCGAUGACCCGCCCGCGAACCAAGAUGGCCGACAUGGCUAAAAAAUAGUUCAUAGGGUAAAAUGCAGUUUUUGGCUCAUAUCUCUGAAACCAAAGCAUUUAGAGCAAAUCUGACAAGAAUAAAAUUGUUCAUUAGGUCAAGAUCUAUCUGCCCUGAAAUUUUCAGACCAAUCAGGCAACACGUUGUUGGGUUGAUGCCCCUGAAUUGGUAAUUUUAGGAAAAUUUUGCAGCUUUUGGUUAUUAUCUUGAAUAUUAUUAUAGAUAGAGAUAAACUGUAAACAGCAAUAAUGUACAGCAAAGUAAGAUCUACAAAUAAGUCAACAUGACCAAAAUUGUCAAUUGACUCCUUAAGGAGUUAUUGCCCUUUAUAGUCAAUUUUUAGCUCACCUGGCCCAAAGGGCCAAGUGAGCUUUUCUCAUCACUUGGCGUCCGUCGUCCGUCGUCCUGCGUCCGUCGCCCGUCGUCCGUAAACUUUUACAAAAAUCUUCUCCUCUGAAACUACUGGGCCAAAUUUGACCAAACUUGUCCACAAUCAUCAAUAGGGUAUCUAGUUUAAAAAAUGUGUCCGGUGGCCCGGCCAACUAACCAAGAUGGCCGCCAUGGCUAAAAAUAGAACAUAGGGGUAAAAUGUAGAUUUUGGCUUAUAUCUCUGAAACCAAAGCAUUUAGAGCAAAUCUGACAUGGGGUAAAAUUGUUUAUCAGGUCAAGAUCUAUCUGCCCUGAAAUUUUCAGAUGAAUCUGAAAACCCGUUGUUGGGUUGCUGCCCCUGAAUUGGUAAUUUUAAGGAAAUUUUGCCGUUUUUAUACGACCGCAAAAAAAUUUUUGUGGUCGUAUAUUGGUAUGACGUUGGCGUCGUCGUCGUCGUCGUCGUCGUCGUCGUCGUCGUCGUCGUCGUCCGGCGUCGUCGUCCGAAUACACAUUAGUUUUCGCACUCUAACUUUAGUUUAAGUGAAUGGAUCUCAAUGAAAUUUUACCAUAAGGUUCAAUACCACAAAAGGAAGGUGGGGAUUGAUUUUGGGGGUUAUGGUACUAACAGUUAAGGAAUUAGGGGCCAAAAGGGGCCAAAAAUAAGCAUUUUUGUAACUUCCAGACAUAACUUGUGUGUAAGUGUAUGGAUCUCUCUGACAUUGUAACACAAGGUUCCAUAUCACAAAGGGAAUGCUGGGAUUGAUUUUGGGGGUAAUUGCCUCCAAAUUUUAGGAAUUAGGGGCCAAAAAGGGGCAAAAAACAAGCAUUUUUCUAGUUUCAUGACAAUAACUUGUUUGUAAGUGUAUGGAUCUUUAUGAAAUUGUACUACAAGGUUCCAUAUCACAAAGGGAAUACUGGGAUUGAUUUUUGGGGUAAUUUCCUCCAAAUUUUAGGAAUUAGGGGCCAAAAAGGGGCAAAAACAAGCAUUUUUCUAGUUUCAUGACAAUAACUUGUUUGUAAGUGUAUGGAUCUUUAUGAAAUUGUACUACAAGGUUCCAUAUCACAAAGGGAAGGCUGGGAUUGAUUUUGGGGGUUUUCCCUCAAAAUUUUAGUAAUUAGGGGCCAUAAAAGGGCAAAAAAAACAUGCAUUUUUCUAGUUUCAGGACAAUAACUUGUGUGUAAGUGUAUGGAUCUUUAUGAAAUUGUACUGCAAGGUUCCAUAUCACAAAGGGAAAGCUGGAAUUGAGUUUGGGGGUAAUUGCCCUAAACGUUUAGGAAUUUGGGGCCAAAAAGGGGCCAAAAAACAAGCAUUUUUCUAGUUUCCAGACAAUAACUUGUGUUCAAGUGUAUGAAUCUCUCUGAAAUUGUACUGCAAGGUACCUUACCACAAAGGGAAAGCUGGGAUUGAGUUUGGGGGUGAUGAAUCAUAAGGGGGUUCAAAAAAUUGGGGGGGGAUUUUUUUUUUCCUUUUUUUUCUUUAACAUUUUCCAUUUUAAAUUGGUUAUUUCUGAUUUAUAUAUAAAAGCAAAUAAUAAUGAUAUGGUUUGAAUAGGCAUACAUGUGAACCUCCCGACGGGAGUACAAUAAUCCCGUUUUCAGGGGUCUCCUCCCGACCUCCCGUUGAAGAGGAAAAAAUCCCGUGUAUGAAAUUUUUCAUGAAUGAAAAAUUUCUGACCAACAUAUCAUCUCAGGCAUCUGGUGUAACUGACAUUACCUGAAGUUAUAUUUUACCUGUAAAUCAAUAAACAUGCAUAAUUAUAUGGUUUCACUUGUCAGCUUGGGUGUCAAACAUACUGGUAAUCAACGAUUUUUACCUCAGGCUAACUGCCGUUGUGUAACAAAAACUGUGUAUUUAUUGGGUUACUUCCCUUGAUUUAUCCUGUUUUAAGUUACUUUCCUUUUAAUAAUGAAAAUUUUUAAAAGAAUAUAAAUAAAAUAUAAAUUGAACAAAUAAUCAUAAAAGGAUGGUUAUUAAAUGAUUUUAAAUGUCUUAAGACAAAUAAAAAAAUAAUAAUUUGAAAAUUAUUUGAGGAUUCUAUACUUCCUUUCAAGGCUUAAAUUGAAAUUUAUAUAAUAACUAUGACCCUAAUUUUACAGAUAGAAUGAUUUUCUGAGUUUGCAAAUAAAAACUAUUUGCAAGAGAAAAAAUAAAAACUAUUUGCAGAUAGCUAAACAAAUGUUCUGGUUGCAAUGAUUGUUUUAUCGAAUAUGAAGUAAAAAAAUUAAAGAACAUACUGGAAAAAAACAAUGUUAGAUUGAACAUGUAGAAUAUAAAGAUGGAGAAACUUUAUAAGUACAAGGGUACUAUAAACAUGAUAAAUUGGAUGGAAAGUUGAAGAAAACACACUUUAAAAGACCAUUUUUACAGCACACGGUUACAUUUACAACAAAAUUUCUGUCGAUUAAAAACCUCCUGAUCUGAGUCCUAAUCUCCUGACCAAAAUUUCCCAAUCUCCUGAUCUGAGUUUCACAGUCCAUCACAUGUAUGAAUAGGUAAAUUGAAAAUUUUUAAGUUCUUAGACCACUUUCAUUCUGUGUCAGAAACCUAUGCUGUGUCAAAUAUUUAAUUACAAUCCAAAUUCAGUGCUGUAUCAAGCUUGAAUGUUGUGUCCAUACUUGCCCCAACUGUUCAGGGUUCGACCUCUGCGGUCGUAUCAAGCUGCGCCCCAGCGGAGCAUUUUAUUGGUUAUUGUCUUGAAUAUUAUUAUAGAAAGAGAUAAACUGUAAACAGCAAUAAUGUUCAGCAAAGUAAGAUCUACAAAUAAGUCAACAUGACCAAAAUGGUCAGAUGACCCCUUAAGGAGUUAUUGCCCUUUAUAGUCAAUUUUUAACCAUUUUUCGUAAAUUUUUGUAAUCUUUUACAAAAAUCUUCUCCUCUGAAACUGCUUAGACAAAUUUAACCAAACUUGUCCACAAUCAUCAUUAGGGUAUCUAGUUUAAAAAAUGUGUCCGAUGACCCGCCCGCGAACCAAGAUGGCCGACAUGGCUAAAAAAUAGUUCAUAGGGUAAAAUGCAGUUUUUGGCUCAUAUCUCUGAAACCAAAGCAUUUAGAGCAAAUCUGACAAGAAUAAAAUUGUUCAUUAGGUCAAGAUCUAUCUGCCCUGAAAUUUUCAGACCAAUCAGGCAACAAGUUGUUGGGUUGAUGCCCCUGAAUUGGUAAUUUUAGGAAAAUUUUGCAGCUUUUGGUUAUUAUCUUGAAUAUUAUUAUAGAUAGAGAUAAACUGUAAACAGCAAUAAUGUACAGCAAAGUAAGAUCUACAAAUAAGUCAACAUGACCAAAAUUGUCAAUUGACCCCUUAAGGAGUUAUUGCCCUUUAUAGUCAAUUUUUUAUAAUUUUCAUAAAUUUUUGUAAAUUUUUACAAAAUAUUUUCCACUGUAACUACUGGGCCAAGAUCAUUAUAGAUAGAGAUAAUUGUAAGCAGCAAGAAUGUUCAGUAAAGUAAGAUCUACAAACACAUCACCAUCACCAAAACACAAUUUUGUCAUGAAUCCAUCUGUGUCCUUUGUUUAAUAUGCACAUAGACCAAGGUGAGCGACACAGGCUCUUUAGAGCCUCUAGUUGUAACUUCCAGACAUAACUUGUGUGUUAGUGUAUGGAUCUCUCUGACAUUGUACCACAAGGUUCCAUAUCACAAAAGGAAUGCUGGGAUUGGUUUUGGGGGUAAUUGCCUCAAAAUUUUAGGAAUUAGGGGCCAAAAAAGGGGCAAAAAACAAGCAUUUUUCUAGUUUCAUGACAAUAACUUGUGUGUAAGUGUAUGGAUCUUUCUGAAAUUGUACUACAAGGUUCCAUAUCACAAAGGGAAAGCUGGAAUUGAGUUUGGGGGUAAUUGCCGAAACGUUUAGGAAUUGGGGGCCAAAAAGGGGCAAAAAAAUAAGCAUUUUUCUAGUUUCCAGACAAUAACUUGUGUUCAAGUGUAUGGAUCUCUCUGAAAUUGUACUGCAAUGUACCAUACCACAAAGGGAAUGCUGGGAUUGAUGAUGGGGGUAAUUGCCUCAAUAUUUUAGGAAUUAGGGGCCAAAAAGGGGCAAAAAACAAGCAUUUUUCUAGUUUCAGGACAAUAACUUGUGUUUAAGUGUAUGGAUCAUUCUGAAAUUGUACUACAAGGUUCCAUAUCACAAAGGGAAGGCUGGGUUUGAGUUUGGGGGUAAUUGCCCUAAACGUUCAGGAAUUUGGGGCCAAAAAGGGGCCAAAAAACACAUUUUCUUAGUUUCCAGACAAUAACUUGUGUUCAAGUGUAUGGAUCUCUCUGAAAUUGUACUGCAAGGUACCAUACCACAAAGGGAAGGCUGGGAUUAAGUUUGGGGGUGAUGAAUCAUAAGGGGGUUCAAAAAAUUGGGGGGGGGGAUUUUUUUUUUUUUUCCUUUUUUUCUUUUUUUCCUUUUUUUUUUCUUUUAAAAUUUUCCAUUUUAAGUUGGUUAUUUCUGAUUUAUAUUUAAAAGCAAAUAAUAAUGAUAUGGUAGGAGAUACACACCAAACAGGAUGUGUAAAUUAUUAUAUAAUAAGUAUUGUGCAAUAGCAAGAAAUUUUCAAUUGCACAGUAUUGCACAAUAGCAAGAAAUCUUCAAUUGCACAGUAUUGCGCAAUAGCAAGAAAUCUUCAAUUGCACAGUAUUGCGCAAUAGCAAGAAAUAUCAAAUAGCACAAUAUUGCGCAAUAGCAAGAAAUUGUCAAUUGUACAGUAUUGCACAAUAGCAAGAAAUAUUUAAUUGCACAGUAUUGUGCAAAAGAAGAUACUUCGUAUAAAUUGCUUAUUUCUUGACCAAUUUCAAUGGGGUUUUAUUCUUUAAAUUUUGGGGUUCUUUAAUAUGCUGAAUCUAACCGUGUAUUCAGUUUUUUGAUUUUGGGCCCCGUUUUUAAAUUGGUCCACAUUGAGGUCCAAAGGGUCCAAAAUUAAACUUUGUUUGAUUUCAUCAAAAAUUGAAUUAUUGGGGUUCUUUGAUAUGCCGAAUCUAACCGUGUAUUUAGAUUCUUAAUUUUUGGUUCCGUUUUCAAAUUGGUCUACAUUAAUGUCCAAAGGGUCCAAAAUUAAACUUAGUUUGAUUUUAACAAAAAUUGAAUUCUUAGGGUUCUUUGAUAUGCUGAAUCUAAACAUGUAUUUAGAUUUUUGAUUAUGGGCCCAGUUUUCAAGUUGGUCCAAAUCGGGGUCCAAAAUUAAACUUUGUUUGAUUUCAACAAAAAGUGAAUAUAUGGGGUUCUUUGAUAUGCUGAAUCUAACCAUGUAUUUAGAUUUUUGAUUUUUGGGCCCCGUUAUCAACUUUGUCCACAUUGAGGUCAAAAGGGUCCAAAAUUAAACUU